rnacentral:rRNA from 1 species
UACGUAGGGUGCGAGCGUUGCCCGGAUUUAUUGGGCGUAAAGGGCGCGUAGGCGGUCACGCACGUCCGUUGUGAAAUCGCUCGGCUCAACUGGGCGGGGUCAGCGGAUACGGCGUGGCUGGAGCAAGCUAGGGGGCAAUGGAAUUCCCGGUGUAGCGGUGAAAUGUGUAGAGAUCGGGAGGAACACCGGUGGCGAAGGCGGCAUCCUGGACCAACACUGACACUGAUGAGCGAAAGCCAGGGGAGCAAACGGG